rnacentral:misc_RNA from 1 species
CUUUGCCCUCAGGAUGUGAG